rnacentral:lncRNA from 1 species
GGAGGUGCCCCCGGUGAGGGUGAUGUGGCCCCGCCCUGCAUGGCAGUGCGGGCGGAAGACCUGGCCGGAUUCUGGGUGUCUUUUGAAGCUGACCCGUGAGGCGUGUGACACAAAGGCAGAGGUCAAGGCUGACUUCAGGCUUUGGGUUCAAGUGGCUCGGAGGAGGGUGUGGCACCGGUGGGCAGGGAGCAUGCAGGAGGGGCAGACUGGGGCCAAUGGGGUGCCCGAGAUUCAACUGCCCGUUGGACGUUCUGGAACAGACGUCGACAAGCCCCCAGGGCCCAGCCCCAGCUCUGGAAUCAGAAGCCGGGCCCCGCGGCAGCCCGCCCCCCACCUCCUGGGUCCUGGGUUAGAGGAGCUCCGCGCCGGAGAAACAAAGUUGGGUGUUGCCCGUGUCAGACCAGCAGGCCGCUGUCCCUUGCGUCCUACGCUGUCACCGGGCUCUGCCAUUAGCCACCCUCGUUGUGCUGGAAAAACCUUUCUCCUUCAACCAACCGCGUGCCCGCGGCUGUUCCCGCAGCGCGCUGCCCUGCCGCGUGGGACGUGCCCACUAAUGAGGAAUAAUGGAGGCGUGGAACUGCCCAGGCCCAGCUGCGGGGCGAUUGUCCUGCUGGUGACGGCCCCGGCACAUUUGCCAGAGCACUCGUCAGGCCUCUGGGUCCAGCGCGGUGACACUUCUUCAGAGGAACCACUGCUGUUUGCUUUCUCUCUUUCUGCAGGAGCUCAUUUGAAUACGGGGAAUGCAGAGUUUUCUUUUUUUGUUCCUUGUCUUUUUUUUUUUUUUUUUUCUUUUUUUUCUCUUGGUGACAUUCUGAGCCAGCUCCUGGUGCGUCCUGAUGAGUUCAGGGUCCGGGUGUGACCAGAAUGGCUCUGGACGCCACCAAUUUGGAAUAAAAGCUGGGUCUGAUUUCCCUGCCUUUAGGGACAGAGCUGAAUUGGGCCCAGGGCCCAGGUGGCAGGAAGGAGAGAGGGGACGGGAGGACCAGGGAUACAGUUGCUGACGUGUGGCUGCAAAUGACAAAACCGACUCAAUACCCCUAAGGGAGGGGGGACUGAUUGAGGCCUGUGGCUGAAAGGUCCAGGGGGUAGGUUUCAGACACGGCUGUAUCCAGGAGCUCAAAGAACAGCAGCUUCUUGCCAUCUGUCUUUUCCCUGUAUUCACCAUUCCCAGCAGGGGAUGUGUCCCUGAGAUGGCUGCCUGCGGCUGGGCUGCCCUCCUGUGCUC